UGGGGAAUUUUGCACAAUGGGGGAAACCCUGAUGCAGCGACGCCGCGUGAUUUAGAAGGCCUUCGGGUUGUAAAAAUCUUUUCUAUGGGAAGAAAAUGACAGUACCAUAGGAAUAAGGACCGGCUAAUUACGUGCCAGCAGCCGCGGUAAUACGUAAGGUCCGAGCGUUGUCCGGAAUCAUUGGGCGUAAAGGGUACGUAGGCGGGUAAGCAAGUUAGAAGUGAAAUCCUAUAGCUCAACUAUAGUAAGCUUUUAAAACUGCUCAUCUUGAGGUAUGGAAGGGAGAGUAGAAUUCCUAGUGUAGCGGUGAAAUGCGCAGAUAUUAGGAGGAAUACCGGUGGCGAAGGCGACUUUCUGGCCAUAACCUGACGCUGAGGUACGAAAGCGUGGGUAGCAAACAGG
rnacentral:rRNA from 1 species